AGAGUUUGAUCCUGGCUCAGGACGAACGCUGGCGGCGUGCCUAAUACAUGCAAGUCGAGCGCGUGAAGCUUUUCAGAUCUCUUCGGAGUGACGAAGAGUGGAACGAGCGGCGGAUGGGUGAGUAACACGUGGGCAACCUGCCUAUAAGAUCGGGAUAACUUGCGGAAACGUGAGCUAAUACCGGAUAAAGUCUUUUACCUCCUGGUAAAAGAAUGAAAGACGGCUAUGCUGUCACUUAUAGAUGGGCCCGCGGCGCAUUAGCUAGUUGGUGGGGUAAGAGCCUACCAAGGCAACGAUGCGUAGCCGACCUGAGAGGGUGAUCGGCCACACUGGGACUGAGACACGGCCCAGACUCCUACGGGAGGCAGCAGUAGGGAAUCUUCCGCAAUGGACGAAAGUCUGACGGAGCAACGCCGCGUGAGUGAUGAAGGUUUUCGGAUCGUAAAACUCUGUUGUUGGGGAAGAACAAGUACGAGAGUAACUGCUCGUACCUUGACGGUACCUAACCAGAAAGCCACGGCUAACUACGUGCCAGCCGCCGCGGUAAUAC
rnacentral:rRNA from 1 species